AUUUUUUUUUACAUGCUGUGAGGAACUGAAUUCAUUAAGUUAUGCUAAUUUUACCUUAAUUUAACAUAAUUUAGCUUAAUUAUUACGACCAGCUCGUGUUAGACUUGGUUAUUUGUCUGAAAUGUACCCAAAAUUGAAUAAGAACAGUAAUUAUAGAUAUUUAAUAGUUUAUUGUGAGGUUACUUAAUUCUUCCUGAGAGAACUGGUUGCUAGCUAACUCCUAGCUAACCUAGCUGAGCUAAAUAGCUAAUAAGCCUUAGGGGUGCUAACCGUUGCUAGGAUACCUAGCCUUAGCUAACUCACUAGCUACAACAGGCUAAGCUAAGCUAACAGUUUUAUUGUGUUUUAUUUAAUUUAUUUUGCUUUAAUGUGGCACCAGAAGAGUGUAAAUGUACAAAAUGAAUCACCUGAAACUUUGGAAUAUGGCCCAUUUCCCCUUUUUGCAAAGCGGUCGGUGGAAGUGCACCGGCAGUUUGAGCGCGAGUGUCCGGAUCCAGCGCUCAGCCUGUUAGAUGAUAAUGAUGCAUUCUGGGACAAAAUCUUACAAACUCCCAGUGACGAGUCGCUGGGUUACGAGGCUGAAGCAGUGAACAUGUUCUCCACUACACCUGUUGAGCUGGUGUGCGGUCACGUGGGGAGCAGCUGUCUGGAGACCCUCCCCUCUCCUGCUCACCUGAUGGGAAAGAAGAGGAAGAAGAGAGGAGGAGGAGAGAGGAGAGACUCUGCAGACAGACAGUCCUCCGCCGUCACCCAGCACAUCAUCCAGCUCAGGAGAAAACAGAGCUACAUCGACAGUUUGAAAGGGGAAAAGUGGUGGAGCAGCUCUGUAUGGAGGGCAGAGCCAGAGUGGGCGGGGCCUGACGGAGAGCAGGCGGAGUCUGAAGGAGAGACACACCCACACCUCCCUGAUCACCCUUUCAGCCAGGAGCGUGAGUAUGGUGAAUAUGGUGAGCAGAUUCUGGACGUGGCUCCUGGAGGAAACCCCAUGAUGUCGUUUGUCACGGGCGGAACGGCUUACAGAGAAAUCCAGAGGAAAUGGGAGCGGCCCGAUGAGUCCCACAGUGACUUCUGGGGAAUCCAAUGCAGUACUGAACAAUAAGUAAUAAUACUACAUCCUGGUGGACACUUUAUCGGAAACACCACCCUUUUGGCUCCAGUGUAUGGAUUUAAUCCAGUUUAUAAUUAAAUACCAGCGAAUUAGAGCUAUGAGAGAGGUGUUUCUGAUAAAGUGGCCGGGUAUAGCUGUCUGUUCCAGUGGUGUUUUAAUAUUAAUAUAUGAAUUAAUAUAAAUCUAUUUAUGUAUUCUUUAAUACAAUAUCAAUAUAUGGUUUAAUAUCAUCAUUAAUAUUGUAAUAUUAGCCAUAAAUUAGCAAUAUUAACAUUGAUUUCAUAUUAAAGGGGAAUUUCAACCAUUUUUCAAAAUUCGCUGCAUAAUUCAGUGUUUGAGAUAAAUUGUUUCAAAGCUGGGUUUGUUGUGAAUUUAUUGAUUAUUAUAGAAAUAAUAACCAUCAAACAUGUCUUUAAAGUGGUGGUGAAUGCAACCAGACAUCGGUCGCCAUAAUUAUACACUUCUAUAACACAAAACAUGUAUAGACAUUAUUCUAAUUACUGUUCAGUAAUUACAGUUUUAUUUAAAAUGGUGAAGAUGUGAAAACAGUGGAUAUUAAAGAAAAUCUGAAGAAUUAAACACAUUUUCAUUGGGAACUACUUUUUGCCGCACUACGCCCUACACACUGUAUAUGUAUCCCUCCACCACUUUAACAAUAUGUGAUUUUUACAACACAUUUUAGAUCCAUAAUCUUCCCCUGCUUCCAUUUAACACCAUUGUAAACUAUUCUGACUAAGAAGUUGAUCUAAAAAGGUGUUUUUACACCCAAACUAAAAAAAAUUAGAACUACUUUUAAUUGUUUUUGUUAUGCAGAGAAUAAAAAAAAAUCUGGUGGAUUUCCA
ensembl:lncRNA